UGAAAACAUCAGUUCUCGUCCGAUCACUAAAGUUAAGCAGUGUUGCGCCUGGACAGUACUUAGAUGGGGGACUGUUUGUGAACA